rnacentral:misc_RNA from 1 species
UUUCCGUAGGUGAACCUGCGGAAGGAUCAUUACAGAGUUCAUGCCCUCACGGGUAGAUCUCCCACCCUUGAAUAUUUAUACCUUAGUUGCUUGGCAGGCCGUGGAAACACCAUGGGCUCCGGCUUAUGCGUGCCUGCCAGAGGAAACAAACUCUGUUUUUAGUGAUGUCUGAGUACUAUAUAAUAGUUAAAACUUUCAACAACGGAUCUCUUGGUUCUG